GGCCGCUGAAGCUUCCCUCCAGAGCGUCCAGACUGACGCGGUCCCCGCCUCUCAAACGCUUCCUCUGUCCCAGCCGCCUGUCACUGGAGCUCAGGGCUCCGAGUCACACACUCCCCACCCCCAGACCACUGGCACGGGUCUAGAGACCUGGAUUCUCUCUCCAGGGCUGCUCCUCCCAGCGACGUGGCCUUCAACAGCUCACUUCGCCUCCCUAGCCUCAGUUUCUCCUUGGGAGCGAUGUUCAAGCCACGUCGUCUGUGGCCCUCGAGGGCUCAGGCUUCCUCUGUGGUGGGUUGGUGAUGCUUGGGGGCAGCUACGAGGAAAGCCAAGCGCCACUAGGGCCCACGAGCUGCAACUCCAAAAGCACACCACAAGGUAACUGAAAGUUGGGCACACUGACAAGUGUCGCCUUUUAUGAAAGUGCCUGGAAGGACCCGGAAGGACCCUUUCCUCAGAGGUCAGCUCCAUGGAGGUACCACGGUGGCAGAUGCUCCACUUAAGCUGGGAAAAUCGUCAUGUCUUCAAGCACCUUUGGCUCUCCUGUCAUUCAUUCGGGAAAGGGAUUCCUGGUGUGUCCCCACCAGCAUCCGAGUUAGGACGGAUGGCCGUUUCUCGUCUUUGCUCCUCUCUUGGGGCCAGUUGCCCAUCCAUCUCCUGGUGGGUGGAAGCUGAUAUUGGAUAAAUACCAGUUGUCACUGCUGGGCUCUGCCCAGAUUUUCUACCCCUGAAGGCAUCCUGUCAACAGGUGUCUGGUGACACAGGGCCCAUGAGGUCCUGCCUGCUUCACAGAUGUUAGGUUCCAGCCGCAAAACC
rnacentral:lncRNA from 1 species